UACAGAGGGUGCAAGCGUUGUUCGGAAUUAUUGGGCGUAAAGGGCGUGUAGGCGGUUUCCUAAGUCUUCUGUGAAAUCUACGGGCUUAGCCUGUAACGUGCAGAGGAAACUGGGAGACUUGAGUGUCGGAGAGGAUAGGGGAAUACCCAGUGUAGAGGUGAAAUUCGUAGAGAUUGGGUGGAACACCAGUGGCGAAGGCGCCUGUCUGGCUGACAACUGACGCUGAGACUCGAAAGCAUGGGGAGCAAACAGG
rnacentral:rRNA from 1 species